AUGUGCAUGCCGAGCAGGCCUCACGCCAGUUUAGGGUCUCUGGUAUCUCCCGCUGAGCUGCUCUGUUCCCGGCUUAGAGGACCAGGAGAAGGGGGAGUUGGAGGCUGGAGCCUGUAACACCGUGGCUCGUCUCGCUCUGGAUGGUGGUGGCAACAGAGAUGGCAGCGCAGCUGGAGUGUUAGGAGGGCGGCCUGAGCGGUAGGAGUGGGGCUGGAGCAGUAAGAUGGCGGCCGGAGCAGUAAGAUGGCGGCUGGAGUGGUUUUUCUGGCAUUGUCUGCCCAGCUGCUCCAAGCCAGGCUGAUGAAGGAGGAGUCCCCUGUGGUGAGCUGGAGGUUGGAGCCUGAAGAUGGCACAGCUCUCGAUGUGCAUUUUGUAAGCACUUUGGAGCCACUAUCAAAUGCUGUGAAGAGAAAUGUACCCAGAUGUAUCAUUAUCCUUGUGCUGCAGGAGCCGACACCUUUCAGGAUUUCAGUCACAUCUUCCUGCUUUGUCCAGAACACAUUGACCAAGCUCCUGAAAGAUCGAAGGAAGAUGCAAACUGUGCAGUGUGCGACAGCCCGGGAGACCUCUUAGAUCAGUUCUUUUGUACUACUUGUGGUCAGCACUAUCAUGGAAUGUGCCUGGAUACAGCGGUUACUCCAUUAAAACGUGCAGGUUGGCAAUGUCCUGAGUGCAAAGUGUGCCAGAACUGCAAACAAUCGGGAGAAGAUAGCAAGAUGCUAGUGUGUGAUACGUGUGACAAAGGGUAUCAUACUUUUUGUCUUCAACGAAUUAUGAAAUCUGUACCAACCAACGGCUGGAAAUGCAAAUGAAUACCGAAUUGGAAAAACAGAUUUCUAAUGAGGCUGAUAGUGAAGAAAUGAAAAUGUCUUCUGAAGUGAAGCAUAUUUGUGGCGAAGAUCAAAUUGAAGAUAAAAUGGAAGUGACAGAAAACAUUGAAGUCGUUACACACCAGAUCACUGUGCAGCAAGAGCAACUGCAGUUGUUAGAGGAACCUAAAACAGUGGUAUCCAAAGAAGAAUCAAGGCCUCCAAAAUUUGUCAUUGAAUCUGUCACUCUUCCACUAGAAACCUUAGUGUCCCCACAUGAGGAAAGCACUUCAUUAUGUCCUGAGGAACAGUUGGUUAUAGAAAGGCUACAAGGAGAAAAGGAACAGAAAGAAGAUUCUGAACUUUCUACUGGAUUGAUGGACUCUGAAAUGACUCCUACAAUUGAGGGUUGUGUGAAAGAUGUUUCAUACCAAGGAGGCAAAUCUAUAAAGUUAUCAUCUGAGACAGAGUCAUCAUUUUCAUUAUCAGCAGACAUAAGCAAGGCAGAUGUGUCUUCCUCCCCAACACCUUCUUCAGACUUGCCUUCGCAUGACAUGCUGCGUAAUUACCCUUCAGCUCUUAGUUCCUCUGCUGGAAACAUCAUGCCAACAACUUACAUCUCAGUCACUCCAAAAAACUGGCAUGGGUAAACCAGCUAUUACUAAGAGAAAAUUUUCUCCUGGUAGACCUCGGUCCAAACAGGGCCAUGGGUCUGGAUUUCCAAGAAAGCGGAGACCUCGAGGUGCAGGACUGUCGGGGCGAGGUGGCCGAGGCAGGUCAAAGCUGAAAAGUGGAAUCGGAGCUGUUGUAUUGCCUGGGGUGUCUACUGCAGAUAUUUCAUCAAAUAAGGAUGAUGAAGAAAACUCUAUGCACACUACGGUUGUGUUGUUUUCUAGCAGUGACAAGUUCACUUUGAAUCAGGAUAUGUGUGUAGUUUGUGGCAGUUUUGGCCAAGGAGCAGAAGGAAGACUACUUGCCUGUUCUCAGUGUGGUCAGUGUUACCAUCCAUACUGUGUCAGUAUUAAGAAGGAGAACUUAUGGAUUGUGAUGGAAAAUCAGAAUCUAGUCCUGAGCGGGAAGCUGUGAAUGAUGAAACUAAGGGAGUGGAAGGAACAGAUGGUGUCAAAAAGAGAAAAAGGAAACCAUACAGACCAGGUAUUGGUGGAUUUAUGGUGCGGCAAAGAAGUCGAACUGGGCAAGGGAAAACCAAAAGAUCUGUGAUCAGAAAAGAUUCCUCAGGCUCUGUUUCUGAGCAGUUACCUUGCAGAGGUGAUGGUAUAGUACUGACUUAAAAUUUUUUUUUUUUUAUGUAACCCCUUGGUCUUGAUAUUUCUAUUGGAAAGAACUAUCCUAAAUAAUGUUACAGUCAAUAAGAGCCUUAUUGCCUCUUAUUGUUACUCAAUAAGAGUCUUAUUGCCUUUUAUUGAUGAAAGGAUUUGAGUGCAUAUAGAGUUCAUAUCUGUAAUACAGCAAUCAGGUUUUAUAAGGAAAUGGUUUAAAUCCAAUAGACUUUAUUCUUUUGAGAUUUUUUGACAAGCUCUUUUUUCCUGUAUCAAAUUAUUAAAUAUAUUUUCUAUAUUUAAAUAUAAAUGGUUUAGGGACUGAAUAACUUAGUUACAUAAAGUACUUUAUGGUCAUCUCCAAAGCCUUUCUUUGACUGCCUUAGCUACUUAUCAUAUAAUUUGAAAUUCUCAAGUGACAGUGCACCUCAAUUUUUAUGUAUGUAUGUAUGUAUGUAUGUAUGUAUGUAUGUAUGUAUGUAUCUAUCUGUCUAUCUGUCUAUCUAUCUAUCUAUCUGCCUAUCUUAGGGUCUCACUAUGUCAUCCAGGUUGGCGUGCAGUGGCACAAUCAUGGGUCACUGCAGCCUUGCACUCCUGAGCUCAGGCAAUUCUCCUGUCCUCAGCCUCUGAUGUAGCUGGAGACCACAGGCACACAACCACCAUGCCUAGCUAAUUUUUUGGCUUUUUGCAAAGACAGGGUCUCACUUUGUUGCCCAGGCUGGCCUAGAACUCCUGUGCUCAAGCGAUCCUCCUGCCUCAGCCUCCCAAAGUGCUGGGAUUACAAGCAUGAGCCAGCCACUGCGCUCAGCCCUCUUCUUACUAUUAUUAUUAUUAUUGUUAUGGUUGUAGAAGUAACCUGAAAUAGAGAUACAUUUAAAUAUCUGAGUGAGUGAUUUCAGCAAAGGAGAGAGACCCUGUGUUACUAUUUUAGGAGUGCUCUUGAUUGUGUGAACCCGUUGAAUACACCACUUACUAACCGAGCCCGGCCAUUUUGCUCAGAUUAUUCAGAGCUCUCAGGCCCAUUCAGAAUGAAAUUCAAAAUCUUUACCAUGGCCAGAAAGAUCCGUGCAAUCAAGAUGCACCAUCCCCAUCCUAAUUUCCGGGCUUGUCGCCACGCCAGCCACAAUGCCAUGCUGGCCUCCUUGCUGUUCUUUGAGACACUGGGUGCACUUUGCUUCAAGGACUUCGCUUGCCUGUCCCUGAACCUGGAAUGCUCUUCCCCUAGAACUCCUUGUGGCUGCCACUGUCACCCCCUUCAGAUCUUUAUUUAGAUGUGUCUAUGAUGAAGCCUUUCAGGGCCGAUCUAUUUAACAUUUCCCUCACCACCCCUCCACUCUGUAGCCCCUUUGCCCCUUGUAUUUUUCUCCAUAGUACUUAUUAUAAUAUCUAACACACUAUAAUAUCAAAUGUUAACUCCAUGAGGAUAGGCAUUUUGAUCUAUUUGGUUCCCUGCGGCAUCUCCAGCACCUAGAACAAUGCCUGGUGUACAUAGUGGGUGCUUAUUAGGUACAUGUCACAUGAAAGAGGAAAAAAACGAGUGUAUUAAAGAAUCCAGGAGCCGGGCGAGGUGUGUCAUGCCAGUAAUCCUAGCACUUUGGGAGGCUGAGGUGGGUGCAUCGCCUGAGUUCGAGCCCAGCCUGGCCAACAUAGUGAAACCCCGUCUCUACUAAAAAUACAAAAAUUCAGCUGGGUGUGGUGGCAGGUGCCUGUAAUCCUAGCUACUAGGGAGGCUGAGGCAGGAGAAUCGCUUGAACUGGGGAGGCAGACGUCGCAGUGAGCCAAGAUUGCGCCAUUGCACUCCAGCCUGGGCAACAAGAGUGAAACACUGUCUC
rnacentral:lncRNA from 1 species